UACGUAGGUGGCGAGCGUUGUCCGGAUUUACUGGGCGUAAAGGGAGCGUAGGCGGACUUUUAAGUGAGAUGUGAAAUACCCGGGCUCAACUUGGGUGCUGCAUUUCAAACUGGAAGUCUAGAGUGCAGGAGAGGAGAAUGGAAUUCCUAGUGUAGCGGUGAAAUGCGUAGAGAUUAGGAAGAACACCAGUGGCAAAGGCGAUUCUCUGGACUGUAACUGACGCUGAGGCUCGAAAGCGUGGGGAGCAAACAGGAUUAGAUACCCCUGUA
rnacentral:rRNA from 1 species